UGGGGAAUAUUGGACAAUGGGGGCAACCCUGAUCCAGCAAUGCCGCGUGUGUGAAGAAGGUCUUCGGAUUGUAAAGCACUUUCGACGGGGACGAUGAUGACGGUACCCGUAGAAGAAGCCCCGGCUAACUUCGUGCCAGCAGCCGCGGUAAUACGAAGGGGGCUAGCGUUGCUCGGAAUGACUGGGCGUAAAGGGCGUGUAGGCGGUUUACACAGUCAGAUGUGAAAUCCCCGGGCUUAACCUGGGAGCUGCAUUUGAUACGUGUAGACUAGAGUGUGAGAAAGGGUUGUGGAAUUCCCAGUGUAGAGGUGAAAUUCGUAGAUAUUGGGAAGAACACCGGUGGCGAAGGCGGCAACCUGGCUCAUGACUGACGCUGAGGCGCGAAAGCGUGGGGAGCAAACAGGAUUAGAUACCCUGGUAGUCCACGCUGUAAACGAUGUGUGCUAGAUGUUGGGUAACUUUGUU
rnacentral:rRNA from 1 species